GAACUUGCUCCGUCGGUAGAGCAGGAGACUCUUAAUCUCAGCGUCAUGAGUUCGAGCCCCACGUUGGGCA